CGGGAUCAUUAAAGAGACCGUUGCCCUUCGGGGUAUACCUCCCACCCUUGUUUAUACAUACCUUGUUGCUUUGGCAGCCCGGCUUCGGCCCACCGGCUCCGGCUGGUCCGCGUCUGCCAGAGGAAACCCAAACUCUGUUUGUUAAUAUUGUCUGAGUACUAUAUAAUAGUUAAAACUUUCAACAACGGAUCUCUUGGUUCUGGCAUCGAUGAAGAACGCAGCGAAAUGCGAUAAGUAAUGUGAAUUGCAGAAUUCAGUGAAUCAUCGAAUCUUUGAACGCACAUUGCGCUCCCUGGUAUUCCGGGGAGCAUGCCUGUUCGAGCGUCAUUACAACCCUCAAGCUCUGCUUGGUAUUGGGCCUCGCCGGUUCCGGCGGGCCUUAAAAUCAGUGGCGGUGCCAUUCGGCUUCAAGCGUAGUAAUUCUUCUCGCUUCGGAGACCCGGGUGUGUGCUUGCCAGCAACCCCCAAUUUUUCAGGUUGACCUCGGAUCAGGUAGGGAUACCCGCUGAACUUAA
rnacentral:rRNA from 1 species